GAGUGUCUUGUAUUUAUAGUAGCAGCACAUCGAGCCCGAGUUCCAAUCCUAUUCGGACUAGGUCUCCUUCUCCGGAUUAACAUCCCCUCGAUCAGUCCUAUCUCCGCUAGGACUACGAAUCUAGUCCUUAACUGAGCCAGAUUCGCUUUCUAGAUUAUUGAUCUCGUCGAGGGUCCCUAUUGCACUAGGAUUCGACCUCUUGCGUUAUGACCUAGCCGACCUAGGUUUGGAGGCCCACAUACUGAACGAUCCGUGGUAUUCUUGCCGCAAGGCCUCCAGGGCCGAGAAUGACCCUACACUCGGCCCAAACUGUUAUUUUAGGCCCAAACAGAUUCUUAAAACAAAAAGGCACUCAACCCCCCAAAAUGAUUUUUCCCUUCCCAUUUUGUUAUAGUGGAUGGAGGGAAUUGAAUCCUUGGCCUAGUUUGUUAAUGACUAAUAAUAUACCAAACCCGUUUCCUUUUCAUCUUUCCUCCCACUGUUAUAUGUUGAGAUCUAGAUCGUUAGAUUGUUGUGCCAUUGUUCAAUUGUGUUAAUAAGUCAUGAUUAUGACAUUGUCUUUCGUUAUUCGGGUAGUUACCAUAUGCACUAGAGAAAUGGUAAAGAAACUCUUAAAAGUAGGACUUUUUAUGAACCAUAUGUUAUCUCACAGUUUAAUGUCAAUUCUUAUGCAAAAAACAUAAUAUGGAAGAGAAUUCGUAAAGAGUCCCCCUUUUGAAAAAAUCUUCUUAAUAUUUCUCUACACACUAUAUUACGUUUCAGCACA
rnacentral:lncRNA from 1 species